GAUGAGAACGCAGCGAAAUGCGAUACGUAAUGUGAAUUGCAGAAUUCAGUGAAUCAUCGAGUCUUUGAACGCACAUUGCGCCCCCUGGUAUUCCGGGGGGCAUGCCUGUCCGAGCGUCAUUGCUGCCCUCAAGCACGGCUUGUGUGUUGGGCCUCCGUCCUCCUCCCGGGGGACGGGCCCGAAAGGCAGCGGCGGCACCGCGUCCGGUCCUCGAGCGUAUGGGGCUUCGUCACCCGCUCUUGUAGGCCCGGCCGGCGCUUGCCGACACAUCAAUCUUUUUUCCAGGUUGACCUCGGAUCAGGUAGGGAUACCCGCUGAACUUAAGCAUAUCAAUAAGCGGAGGA
rnacentral:misc_RNA from 1 species